rnacentral:piRNA from 1 species
UGGGAGAUGGGUGGUGUCCCUGGGGCCCUC